CCCUGGUAGUCCACCCCGUAAACGUUGGGAACUAGUUGUGGGGUCCAUUCCACGGAUUCCGUGACGCAGCUAACGCAUUAAGUUCCCCGCCUGGGGAGUACGGCCGCAAGGCUAAAACUCAAAGGAAUUGACGGGGACCCGCACAAGCGGCGGAGCAUGCGGAUUAAUUCGAUGCAACGCGAAGAACCUUACCAAGGCUUGACAUAUACGAGAACGGGCCAGAAAUGGUCAACUCUUUGGACACUCGUAAACAGGUGGUGCAUGGUUGUCGUCGGCUCGUGUCGUGAGAUGUUGGGUUAAGUCCCGCAACGAGCGCAACCCUCGUUCUAUGUUGCCAGCACGUAAUGGUGGGAACUCAUGGGAUACUGCCGGGGUCAACUCGGAGGAAGGUGGGGAUGACGUCAAAUCAUCAUGCCCCUUAUGUCUUGGGCUUCACGCAUGCUACAAUGGCCGGUACAAAGGGCUGCAAUACCGUGAGGUGGAGCGAAUCCCAAAAAGCCGGUCCCAGUUCGGAUUGAGGUCUGCAACUCGACCUCAUGAAGUCGGAGUCGCUAGUAAUCGCAGAUCAG
rnacentral:rRNA from 1 species